rnacentral:rRNA from 1 species
UACGUAGGGGGCAAGCGUUGUCCGGAAUCAUUGGGCGUAAAGCGCGUGUAGGCGGCCCGGUAAGUCCGCUGUGAAAGUCGGGGGCUCAACCCUCGGAUGCCGGUGGAUACUGUCGGGCUAGAGUGCGGGAGAGGCGAGUGGAAUUCCUGGUGUAGCGGUGAAAUGCGCAGAUAUCAGGAGGAACACCGGUGGCGAAGGCAGGCUUCUGGGCCAUCACUGACGCUGAUCUGCGAAAGCUAGGGGAGCAAACAGG